GGUUGUGGCUCAGCGGUAGAGCGCUCGUCUAGCAUGCGUGAGGCACUGGGCUCAAUCCUCAGCACCA
rnacentral:tRNA from 1 species